rnacentral:rRNA from 1 species
UACGAAGGGGGCUAGCGUUGCUCGGAAUCACUGGGCGUAAAGCGCACGUAGGCGGAUCUUUAAGUCAGGGGUGAAAUCCCAAGGCUCAACCUUGGAACUGCCUUUGAUACUGGGGAUCUCGAGUCCGGAAGAGGUGAGUGGAACUCCGAGUGUAGAGGUGAAAUUCGUAGAUAUUCGGAAGAACACCAGUGGCGAAGGCGGCUCACUGGUCCGGUACUGACGCUGAGGUGCGAAAGCGUGGGGAGCAAACAGG